GGAGGAGGAGGAGGAGGAGGAGAGAAAGCCCACACCCCCGCGACGGACGGCAACAUGCCGUUUCCGCAUCGCCCCUCAUGGUGGCUUAAACUUCUUUGCAACAUGAGGAUUUUUUUGAGCUUUUCAACAUACACAUCUGCUACAAUUCGCCUAAAAAGUUUUGUUACAAAGUUUGGCUAUGAUUGUAUCGUAAGAAACUGUUAGGUUUUGAACCCUCCUACAAGUUUAUGAUGGUGAUGUAUACCCUAAAAUUUUGGGGUCACGGCGGUGGUUUGAGGCUGAGGUGACACACGUGACACGACCCAUUGUUGUUGGACUUUGUAGCAAUACCAAGGACAACAUCUAGCAAACCAUCCUCUUCCGAUUUAUCACCAGUCAAAUCCUAUGGUCUUACUUUGCACCUGUAAUAUGUAUCCUUUAAAAACCGACUUUUGGUUGUGUAGGUACUAUAAAUAAAGCUUGGUAGACACAAAAGUGUAUCCAAACUACAGGCAAAUGAUAUACAUUCUAAACCAUUCAGGUACACUGGCAAUUGUUGUACUAUUCAAAUGCUUUGAAACUUACAUUCAAUUGAUUGCAUGUGUUUCUUGAGGCUAAGAAACAUGACCGAUAAAGAUUAACGCAAUGAUGAUUCAAGUUAUUCCACCAUAAUAUUAUGUAAGGUUGAUAUGAUCCGAUAAUGAAUAGGGUCAUUAAAGUGUGAGAUUAUUGUUGUUACACUUGGUCUAUUUCAUGCAUUGUAUACUCAUUUGUUACCAGGUUUGAAUCCAUCUCAACCCGAAAUUUGUCAAAGCCAUUAAAGAUCCUCACAACUGAUAAAACCAUGGUUGCUAUGACUCAGUGAUUAUAAUGAUUAUCAGAAGACCAAUGAAUGCCAUAUACUUACUAACAUUUUGGGACCAAAUGCUCAGGUUUGAGUUAUAAAGUUGUGUACUUUCAUGCGCUUAAUGGACUUCCUUUGAACUGUUUGUUUUGGAUGUAUGUUUUCCGAAGAAAACCCACGUUGAUAGGGACAUCAUGAUGGCCAAUGUUUCAAACCGUCUACACGCAUUUGUUAAAGAGACUAUAAAAAAAGAAGUGGGUCUAACAGUAUAUUCUGGUACGAACAUUUUGGAUUAGCACUGAGACGAUUGAGUUUGAGUAAUUGCGUAUUAUAUUUAAUUAUUUAUUAAUUGUUGAUAUAUAAAGCAAUUGUCUUUUAAUUAUAAAUUAUCAGUUUGUAAUACAUGUAGGCACUACCAGGUUGUAUUUUGUGCUUUAGGUGAGUCUUGUACUGUUUCAUGUUGUACAGUUUUAAAUAGUGUUUGUACAUGGUUUUUGUUUGUCUAUUGGGUUAAUUUGGCGAUGGGUUACGCGUGUAAAGAUCUGGCCUACAUCCCUUUUCUCAGACCCCCACCACCUUCACGUUUCCACUCUUCUUCUCCAGACAAAUUGAACUAAAGGAAGAAACCUAGAUCACAAUCAUCAAACUCAACAGAGGAUUCAUAGUCAUCGUAGCCAUGAAACAGAGGAUCCGUUAUCAUCUUCAUGUAUUGUUUCCGCGGUGUUGUGCGGGAGCCAGCCGUUGUCGGUGGUCGUUUCAAGUUCGCCCGGUCUCAUAAUUGAAGGUUUGAAGUUUGAACCCGUUCCAAUAUCGCUCGGGUACCAAAAUCGCAGUGGCAGGUGUGAUUGAGACGAUUCUUGAAAUAGGAAGAUUCAAAAUCUUAGGUUUGUACCAGUUUCUAGACAGGGAAGAGAGAUGCAUCAAGAGGAAAGCAAGCUUCUUCAUCGGAUAUAGAUUAAAUUAUAAGGGUUUCUAAUAUCGUAAAGCCUGUUCAUCCCAAGUGUUCGCCAGAUGACAUGGAACGGGCCGGAAUAUUGACUGUUUGGGUAAGAUUUGGUUGGGAAUGGGAAUGAGGGUUUUUAUACUACAAGUUAUGAGUCUUUGUAUGUGUUGGGGCAUUGUCAAGGGGAUUUAGGGGGUGAUGAUUGUGGGGAGUGUGUGAAAAGUGCAGUGCAGAGGGCUGAAGUGGAGUGUGGGGGUUCAACUUCUGGGCAGAUAUAUUUGCAUAGGUGUUUUGUGAGUUAUAGUUAUUAUCCUAAUGGGAUACCUAACCCUAAGAAAUCAUCUUCUUCUUCAGCUUCAUCUUCAUCAGAUUCUUCGUAUUCUUCUUCAUCAGAUUCUUCGUAUUAUUCACCAUCUUCUUCUUCAUCAGGAACAAAUUCAAAUACAGGGAAGACAGUGGCAAUUAUCUUGGGAGGGGCAGCAGGAGUUGGAUUUUUAGUAAUAUUUGUAUUAUUUAUUAUUUAAAGGGAGAUGAGAUGAGAGUUGGUCACAGGAAUCAAGAACCAAAGAUCUAAUUUUUGAGGUGGGUUCUUUCUUUGGUCUUUUUCAAAUCCAUUAAUAAGAUUUUGUUUUUGGUUAGUCAUUUAUCUUAAUUUUUGUUUACCCCAAGCUAAUAAUCAUAUUACAUAAAAUAAUAUAAUAAGGGAAACUGGUAGAAUAUUAUAUUUAACACUCAAAAACUUUAAACAGUUUUUUUCUUUUCCUUUCCUUAAGCCGAUUUACGCUCCAAUACCCCUUCUUCUGGACCCUUUUUAAGCGUAACUGUUGAGAUGAUGAUCUCUCAAAGUUUGUUAGCAUGUGUACAUGGAGAUAACAAGAGCAACUUAGGCCAUAUAUAAGAGGUGAGAACGCACACAUUCUUCCAUUUGGCAAAACCAGGUUUGUGAUCUGAUGGAGUGUUGGUCUAGAAGUGUUCUGUCUUGGCACUGGACGACGGAGGCGAGGCUGCUAAAUGGUUCACUGACUUCCAAUUAUAGAUGUAGCUUGGUUUGUAAAGAGUACUUGAUGUUCACUUGGUCUCAGUGACGUGUAUAGUGUACAUAUUCAAAGGAAGCCUCGAAAUAUCACUAUCAUUGGUUUAUUUAGGUGAAACUAAAUAAGAAAAUUUGUUGCGACUUUUUAAUCA